GAGGAAGUAAAAGUCGUAACAAGGUCUCCGUUGGUGAACCAGCGGAGGGAUCAUUACUGAGUUUACGCUCUACAACCCUUUGUGAACAUACCUAUAACUGUUGCUUCGGCGGGUAGGGUCUCCGCGACCCUCCCGGCCUCCCGCCUCCGGGCGGGUCGGCGCCCGCCGGAGGAUAACCAAACUCUGAUUUAACGACGUUUCUUCUGAGUGGUACAAGCAAAUAAUCAAAACUUUUAACAACGGAUCUCUUGGUUCUGGCAUCGAUGAAGAACGCAGCGAAAUGCGAUAAGUAAUGUGAAUUGCAGAAUUCAGUGAAUCAUCGAAUCUUUGAACGCACAUUGCGCCCGCCAGCAUUCUGGCGGGCAUGCCUGUUCGAGCGUCAUUUCAACCCUCAAGCUCUGCUUGGUGUUGGGGCCCUACAGCUGAUGUAGGCCCUCAAAGGUAGUGGCGGACCCUCUCGGAGCCUCCUUUGCGUAGUAACUUUUACGUCUCGCACUGGGGAUCCCGGAGGGGACUCUUGCCGUAAAAACCCCCAAUUUUUCCAAAAGGUUGACCUCGGAUCAGGUAAGGAAUACCCGCUGAAACUUAAAGCAUAUCA
rnacentral:rRNA from 1 species